GGGACCUGCGGUGCAUUAGCUAGUUGUAGGGUAACGGCCGUACCAAGGCGAUGAUGCAUAGCCGAGUUGAGAGACUGAUCGGCCACAUUGGGACUGAGACACGGCCCAAACUCCUACGGGAGGCAGCAGUAGGGAAUCUUCCACAAUGGACGCAAGUCUGAUGGAGCAACGCCGCGUGAGUGAAGAAGGGUUUCGGCUCGUAAAGCUCUGUUGUUGGCGAAGAAGGACAGGGGUAGUAACUGACCUUUGUUUGACGGUAAUCAAUUAGAAAGUCACGGCUAACUACGUGCCAGCAGCCGCGGUAAU
rnacentral:rRNA from 1 species